rnacentral:lncRNA from 1 species
GGCAAAUGAUGAUGAUAGCAACCUAGUGCCCAUCACAAACUUUUGGUUGGCAUGUUGCGCUGGGUAGGUUCUCAGAAUAGUCCAUGCAAUAUUAUCUAUCUUCCUAGAUACUUUUCAAUGUAAGUGCUUCUCCGAUAGUGGAGAUUGGAGAGCGGCGGGCCAGCUGGAACCGGGAUCGAGAGGGCUAGGGUUUCAACAGGUUGUGGCCUGUAGGGGAGCAAUGAAUUUUAUUUUGCGCUUUGCAUAACUGAGCCAUCCAAGGUUGAUACAAUAGUGACGAGAAAGGCAGAAUGGGUUGUGGUGGGCUGUAUCCAGGUUAUGGGCUUCAUAUUUUUAGACUGAAUAUUAUGGAGAUUAUCAAUUAUAAUAUGUAGUCAAUUGUGUUGUCUAGAUUCUGAAAAUAAGUAGGCUUCAAUUUUGAACUACAUGUAAAUCAAAAAAGAUUAAAAAAGGUAAUAAAACUAUAUUAAUGCACAUAUGUUGCAUCUAGGUCAUAUCCUAAGAAUAGACAGAAAACUCAUAUGUUAGUUCGGAAUAAUUCAAAAAUUUGUUUACAACUUAUUAAAGAAAAUUAAUAAUAAUAUAUAAAAGGUGUAAAAAAAUUUUAAAUAGGCAUGUGAUCAGAUUAUGAGAACAUAUGCUUGAAUUAGAAAAUAGAUGAUUUUACAAAAGUUAGCAUAUACAUUGUUCACAAAUGGAUAUAUUUCUCACAAAGUUACAUACAACCUAAGGCAAACUUUGAAGUUUGUACAUCUCAAAACCUUUUCUUGCUCAUACACACUUCAAAUGGUUUAUACACCUCCCAUAUUGUUGAAAUGAUUUAAACAAAGUGGUACUAUACAUUGUUUAUUACAAAUAGAUACAUCUCCCACAUAGUUAUGUAACUGUGUGAGAGAUGUAUCAUUUUUAAAUCAUGUAUAGUCCAACUUUGUUAUUACGAUUUAAAAUUUUAUGGAACGAUAAAACAACUGUAUUAUGAUCUCAUGCCGGAUUCUAGGAUUUUUAGACUCUUUAAGAUAUUAUUGUUUUUCCUCGUAGAGUCACCAAAAUAUAUGUCAAGUAGUUACAUAUUUUGCUUGGCUGCCAACCUCCAAUAAAAUUCAAUAACCCCCCAAGAAAAUGAUAAAUCAUUAGAUGGUUUAAUUUAAAUUAACACGUAAGGAAACAGGUAUUUUUCUUGGCGGUUAAGAAUAACACUUAAGAAAAUAGUAGUUUCCUUUGAGUGUUUAUAAUUACACUCAAGGAAAUAAGUGCCCCGUCAAGGAAACACCCAUAUUCCUUGGCGGUUUACUUCAACCUCCAAGGAAUAUAUGUUUCCUAGAGAGUUCACUAGCACCAGCAAUGAAACUACCAUUUCCUUGGCAGUUUCAUUUUGGCACUCAAGGAAAUUCUCAGCCCCCCAAGGUAAUUCCAGAUUGGUAGUGUGUUUUAGUUAGUUAGUGUAAAAUCAUGUGAAGGCAUUCCAUUGCGUAUGUGUCCAACUAUAUAUAUUCACCAUGGAUCCAUCAGAUCAGCAUUUAUAUCAUGAACCCAAAAUAUAAUAAGGGAAAUACUUCUCUAAGACUGAUACUAUAUAUAACCUGUCACUAUAAAAUAUCACCUAGUUACCCUCUCGAAUCUCUAACAUCACACGUCGUUGCUCAGUGGAGCAUUGGUCACAUGCAAGCAACACCGACUUAACCUGGGCUUUAGAGGCAUUGGGAAUUGUACCAUGGCUGCACUCUUGCUCCCUAGUACUGACUGGGCCAGCAUCGGUAGUUCUCCAGAUCAGUAGCUGCGAACCAAUAAGUUCGCAUGCCCCCUGGGAAAUCUUCUGUCUCCAGCUCUGCUAUGUCUCGUUACAGCAAGUAUAGUAAGCAUUUUUCAGCGGGCGAGAAGACAUCCACUUUGUACAAAAGCAGCCACGAGAUCAUUUCCUGCUGCAACACAUGUUAUUACCAGAAAAUAAAAGUUUCAUUUGCUUUCAAUUAGGGCACAUACAUUUCGUGCUGUCUCUAUGCCAUUAAUUUUGUAAAAAGUCCCUCGACGGAGCCAAGAGACAGCGACCCCAGCUGGUCCUCCAUGAAGAAAUUUGCCUGGAGUAAAAGGCCUCGAUCCCGUGCAGCAGGAGGUAGUGACGAUGGCACCAAUCUGCUGCAAGCACACGGACGACCUGGCGACCUGCCCUGAUAAUCUGCACACGGGUGAGCUCUGCAGCGAGAUCUGUUGUUGGUUUCGCAUGGGGGAGCUCCGGCUGGCUGCUGCGAGCCACGCCAAUGAGCUUCGCCACCGAGCUUCACGCAGGUGAGGAGGCGUUGAAGAAGAGAAGUGUUGAAGUUGAGUAUUCAAAGGAUAAGCAUGUGCAGCGCAGCACAGUACUGUAGUGUCACUCUAAGGAGGAGCAUGUGAAGUGCACACUGCCAUACAGCUCUUCAGUUUCUACAGACUACAGAGUUCAGUGGACAGAGCAAACCACGAAGUGCUACUAUACUAGGAUCUGCUAAAAAAAAGUACUAUAGUAAGGAGUAGCAGGCUAGUGUGUAUUUGCAAUUUUUUCCUAAAAAGUUGAGACUUUGUAGAAUUUCGUUGUUUAUUUGAUUUAUGAAAAUUUUGUUCUAUUAUAUAUUAUAUAUUAAUAUAACACUUAUUAUAUUAUAUAUUAAUAUAUCAUUUAAACUUAUGGUUCCAAAAAAUAUUGUAACCAUGAUCAUCUUAUUUAUGCUGGAUCUUUUUAUUAACAACAAGCAACAUAUAGGAAAUUCUGCUGUCAAAGCUCGGUCAGCCCAUAGGAAACUCAAAGGAGGGUAUCGAGUACAUAUGACAACACUAUGAAAACAAAGGAAAUUAGAAAAAAAAAGCAAUGCAACUAUAUAUAAUAUAAUUAUUAUGUUGAUUGUUUCUAAAAAUUAUUGUAAUCAUUUUGCUCUUAUUUAUACUUGAUAUAUUUCUAUCAAAUAGCCACACAAUAGUUCACAAAUAUUCAUUUAUAGUUGAUCAUGGAUACAUGCAAAGCAUUAGACGACUGAAUCCUGUUUGUAGGUUGUAUGGUCAGUCUUUAUACCUAUCUAUAUGAUAAAUUCAAUGUUGCUUAGAGACGAGUCUCCGUCUGUGGGUUGUACAUGCCCUCAACCAAUCCAAUGCAGUUUACAAUGCAAGGAUUAAAUACUUAUCUCUAUAGUAGAGCUAUCUAAACAGCCAACCUAUAAUACUAGUUGACUAUAUUGCUGGCUAUAUAUGAUAUGGCAUUGUCUUACAACCUUCAGUUGGCUAAAUUAUUAGCCAUGCUCUUAUACAUUUCUGUCACCUCCACGUAUUCUAGAUAUUUGUGGCUAGGUCAUUCGGGGUGGCGCCCUAGUUGAGCUAUAUGAAGGAUUAAAGGCCAACACAUUUAACCCUUUAAGUUAUGUGUUGAACAAGCUUCGCACAAAAAGUAUACACGAAAAGUAUAGAAUAGUAUACACAGCUGUACAGUAAUCCAAAUUAGUUUUCAACAAAAUCAAGCAUUAUUUGCUCGAUCUUCCUAAAAGUUUGCAAGCAUUCAUCGAUCGUUUGCCUUCAUUUCGAUUAAUUGUUGAUAUAUGCCACAGGCAUCGUGGCUCUAUGUGCUGACUUGGGCAAACCACCAGCACAAGGCCAGCCAUGUAUCAAGAAGGGACGGAAGGUUUAGGACGUCUUGGAUUGUCUUAUUACUCCGCACAUUUGGGUGCAAAUAUUUGGCUUUAUGAAUAACCCCCUGCAGAAAUAGACAAACACCAAAACUCGUGGAAUUCUAUCAGAUAAAACCCUAAUUCUAGGUGUUGGUUGCAUUUGGAUCCUUUUCUUUAUUUAUUUGAUGAUUAUAUUUGGUACUUAAGGACCAUCAACAACCGGCAUGAAAGUCGCCUUCUUUAUUUUAAACCUGGCGAUCUCUGCUCUGUGGUCUGGUAGGUUGAUUUCAGGUGUCAUUGUUUCAUAAUACUGUAAUUGCCAAAGAGCAUCAUCAGUAAACAUAAAAACACAAUGAGUAUGGCUGAAGGCCCAUGCCAGAGGCAUAUGGGAUACUAUUGAUAGUGUGUAUACGCAAAAAAAAUAUCAUCGAUACAUCACCUGACUCGCUAAAUGGCCAACAUAAAGCUAGUAUGUAAUAGCAGGUAGGUAAAGCUCCAAUGAGCGCCAUUGACACUCCAUGACCCAGCACAAGCACUCAAUUCCAUUAAUUACAACCUAAGGGAUUAAUGCAUUUCAAGUAGAUUACAGUAGCUGAGCACCAGCAUAUAUAUACAUAAGUUAUUGAAGUUGUACCUUGUGGUCUUCAUAAUCUAUCUGUUUCAACGCCCUCAAGCAAGUUGUGUGCCGUGAAGAACCCACAGGCGUGGCCCUGGCUCUGAACUUGCUGCUGGGACUAUGAAGAAAGGAACACAUGGUUACCAAUUGAAUUGCCAAUAUGACUUCACAACUGCAAUGGAAGCACUACUUACUGGAACAUUGAAAUGAUGGUUGUAGGCUAGACAAUACUCACUCGUCUAUCACUUCUUGUGUAGGAGUCAACUUUGAGGUCCUGCCACUAUUGGAGUCGAGGUACAUCACCCUCCGCCAAUCUUGGCAAAUGAUGAUGAUAGCAACCUAGUGCCCAUCACAAACUUUUGGUUGGCAUGUUGCGCUGGGUAGGUUCUCAGAAUAGUCCAUGCAAUAUUAUCUAUCUUCCUAGAUACUUUUCAAUGUAAGUGCUUCUCCGAUAGUGGAGAUUGGAGAGCGGCGGGCCAGCUGGAACCGGGAUCGAGAGGGCUAGGGUUUCAACAGGUUGUGGCCUGUAGGGGAGCAAUGAAUUUUAUUUUGCGCUUUGCAUAACUGAGCCAUCCAAGGUUGAUACAAUAGUGACGAGAAAGGCAGAA